GCUUAAGGUGGUGAAAAAACAUGCAGACACACUGAUACACACACACAUUCACAUGCAUCACACACCACACUAAAAUCCUCUGUCUGCAAGAUGCUGAAUAUGCAGAACACACACUUAACCACCCAACUGUAACACAUGAUUAUAACCAGAUGUGAAACUAACACUGGUAGUUUGUGGUUUCCUCAUAACUUCCUCCCUGUCAGGAGACGGCGCCCUGCAUCAGCUACUUCACAACCAGAGAAUACACUCCACUUAUUGAAUGGAACUGUGUUGGUAGUGUUUUGCCUUAUUAGUGUGGUAUUCACCUGUCUGUGAGGGACAAGUAUUCACCUGUCUGUGAGGGACAGGUAUUUCACCGUCUGGUGAGGGACGGGACAGGUAUUCACCUCUCGGUGUGGGACAGUAUCACCUGUCUGUGUGGGACAGGUUCACCUGUCUGUGAGGGACAGUAUUCACUCUCUGUGUGUCUCCCUCCAGGAGAGGGACAGGUAUUCACCUCUGCUGUGUGUUCUCCUCAGGAGAGGGAACAGGUAUUCACCGGUCUGUGAGGGACAGGUAUCAAUCUCUGUGUGUUCUCCCUCAGGAGAGGACGGUAUUCACCGGUCUGUGAGGGACAGGUAUUCACCUCUCUGUGUGUUCUCCCUCCAGGAGAGGGACAGGUAUUCACCUCUCUGUGUGUUCUCCCUCCAGGAGAGGGACAGGUAUGCCUACAAGAUCCACCUGCCAGAGACGGUGGAGCAGCUGAGGAAGUUUAAUUUAAUGCAAGGAGGAAGCUCAAGGGGGCAGUGUUGGCUGCUGUCUCCAGCCACAAGUUUAACUCCUUCUACGGAGACCCACCAGAGGAGAUGCCAGACUUCUCUGAAGACCCCACCUCCAGUAACCCGCCCCUCUCCCCUUCUGUUUGCCUUCCCACGUACAACACCCAUGCCGAGCUGUGUCAGGGGAACGGAUGUCACGGCAACAAUCGCCACGUGUUUGUGUUCCUAGCUCAUUGUCCCACGGGCAGUCCGAAGCACACCCCUGACGA
rnacentral:lncRNA from 1 species